CAGGUACCCCCAGGUACCCCCAGGUGUGUCCCAGGUACCCCCAGGUGUCCCCAGGUGUGUCCCAGGUGUGUCCAGGUGUGUCUCAGGUGUGUCCAGGUGUCCCCAGGUGUGUCCAGGUGUCCCCAGGUGUGUCCCAGGUGUCCCCAGGUGUGCCCAGGUGUAUCUCAGGUGUGUCCCCAGGUGUGCCCAGGUGUCCCCAGGUGUCCCCAGGUGUGUCCCAGGUGUAUCUCAGGUGUCCCCAGGUGUCCCCAGGUGUGUCCCCAGGUGCACUCACCUGUCCCAGCAGCUCCUGCAGUCUCCUCCUGAGCGCCCCAUUGUCUCUCCUGAGCCGCUCGUUCUCGGCCAGCGCCAGGUGUGCCCCAGGUGUGCCCCAGGUGUGUCCAGGUGUGUCCCAGGUGUCCCCAGGUGUCCCCAGGUGUGUCCCAGGUGUGUCUCAGGUGUCCCCAGGUGUCCCCAGGUGACCCCAGGUGUAUCUCAGCUGUCCCCAGGUGUCCCCAGGUGACCCCAGGUGUAUCCCAGGUGUGCCCAGGUGUGUCCCCAGGUGCACUCACCUGUCCCAGCAGCUCCUGCAGUCUCCUCCUGAGCGCUCCGUUGUCCCUGCGCAGCCGCUCGUUCUCGGCCAGC
ensembl:lncRNA